rnacentral:lncRNA from 1 species
GUUUUGUUUGAAUGCCACAAGAUUUGUUAAAUCUUGAUAAGUUCGGUAAAUUGAAGCAUCACGCCUCGAGAGAGAAAAAUCUCCAUUAAUCAAUUCAUCAUAGAAACUUUUUUCAAUACAAUGAAAAUUCCUAUUUAUACUAAAACCCUAAACAUAAUUAAAAGAAAUUAAACUAUUAAAAGCUAUUUAAAAAAAGGUAAAAUAAUCAGCAAAAUAAUGAAAGAGAUGUGAAAAAAUUAACUUCCUAAUAUAAAAACAAAUCCUGCCAAAAUUCUUCGAUUUUCCUUAAGCCGAACAAGUUGCGUGAAGACAGGGAAUUCUGCACCAUUUUGCCUUAUGCGAAUUUAUUCCAAUUUCCAGCCUCUUAAUCAUCUAACUUCAGCGGCCCAUAUGUUUAUAUAUUUUAUAAAUUCAGCCAUCAUUUUGCAUGCAUAAAAGUGUGGAUAAUUAAAUUCUGCAUUGCUCCAGCUUGCUUCCUUAAAUUUCCUCCAGCUUGCUUAGUUCUUCAUUCCCAACACAUAAUUCUAUUCAACUGACUUGUGAACGUCAACCUUAUGAAACCCAUAGCUUAAUUAUCAUAUUGGUUGGCUUUAUUAAUUUUGUUGAAGUCCCGAACUCGGCUCGAACUAAACUUGAAUUCCAUGGCUCUAACAUAUAACAGUCGGCUUUGACGACUUCAAUUAAUCUCAAAUGGGUCCUUAAAUUUUUGCCAACAAACAUCAAAUAUUUGGUAGCUCUUGGAGUAUCCCGGAUCACAUCAUCCCCUCUCUCUUUAAAAGAAUUCGACCUCGAAUCCAAGUCUUCAACGUCCAAAUUAUAGCCUUUAUUUUCGAUCAUGGUAAGCACAUGAAAUGGUCCAUCGCCUCUAGGAUG